AUAUGCACUUCAACAGCACAUAUAUACUAAUAUUGGGAUGAUACAGAGAAGACUGUCAUGGUCCCUGCAUAAUAACAUGCAAAUUUGUGAAUUUUUUUUUUU